rnacentral:rRNA from 1 species
UUUAUUUGAUAGUACCUUACUACAAGGAUAACCGUGGUAAUUCUAGAGCUAAUACUUGCACAAAAUCCCGACUUCGGAAGGGAUGUAUUUAUUAGAUUAAAAACCAACGCCCUCUGGGGCUCACUGGUGAUUCAUGAUAACUUUUCGAAUCGCAUGGCCUUGCGCCGGCGAUGGUUCAUUCAAAUUUCUGCCCUAUCAACUUUCGACGGCUGGGUCUUGGCCAGCCGUGGUGACAACGGGUAACGGAGAGUUAGGGCUCGACUCCGGAGAAGGAGCCUGAGAAACGUAAGUUGGACUCGCCUCAAGCCCACUGAAAAAAAAAACAUUCACUAACAUUAUUCUUGCUACAGGGCUACUACAUCCAAGGAAGGCAGCAGGCGCGCAAAUUACCCAAUGGCGACACGCCGAGGUAGUGACAAUAAAUACUGAUACAGGGCUCUUUUGGGUCUUGUAAUUGGAAUGAGUACAAUUUAAAUCCCUUAACGAGGAACAAUUGGAGGGCAAGUCUGGUGCCAGCAGCCGCGGUAAUUCCAGCUCCAAUAGCGUAUAUUAAAGUUGUUGCGGUUAAAAAGCUCGUAGUUGAACCUUGGGCCUGGCUGGCCGGUCCGCCUCACCGCGUGCACUGGUCCGGCCGGGCCUUUCCCUCUGGGGAACCGCAUGCCCUUCACUGGGUGUGUCGGGGAACCAGGACUUUUACUUUGAAAAAAUUAGAGUGUUCAAAGCAGGCCUAUGCUCGAAUACAUUAGCAUGGAAUAAUAGAAUAGGACGUGCGGUUCUAUUUUGUUGGUUUCUAGGACCGCCGUAAUGAUUAAUAGGGACAGUCGGGGGCAUCAGUAUUCAAUUGUCAGAGGUGAAAUUCUUGGAUUUAUUGAAGACUAACUACUGCGAAAGCAUUUGCCAAGGAUGUUUUCAUUAAUCAGGAACGAAAGUUAGGGGAUCGAAGACGAUCAGAUACCGUCGUAGUCUUAACCAUAAACUAUGCCAACUAGGG